GACGAACGCUGGCGGCGUGCUUAACACAUGCAAGUCGAACGGAAAGGCCCUGCUUUUGUGGGGUGCUCGAGUGGCGAACGGGUGAGUAACACGUGAGUAACCUGCCCUUGACUUUGGGAUAACUUCAGGAAACUGGGGCUAAUACCGGAUAGGAGCUCCUGCUGCAUGGUGGGGGUUGGAAAGUUUCGGCGGUUGGGGAUGGACUCGCGGCUUAUCAGCUUGUUGGUGGGGUAGUGGCUUACCAAGGCUUUGACGGGUAGCCGGCCUGAGAGGGUGACCGGCCACCUUGGGACUGAGAUACGGCCCAGAGUCCUACGGGAGGCAGCAGUGGGGAAUAUUGCACAAUGGGCGGAAGCCUGAUGCAGCAACGCCGCGUGCGGGAUGACGGCCUUCGGGUUGUAAACCGCUUUCGCCUGUGACGACGCGUGAGUGACGGUAAUGGGUAAAGAAGCACCGGCUAACUACGUG
rnacentral:rRNA from 1 species